AUGGCGGCGGAGGGCGGCGGGGGCGGCGGAGGAGGGAAGGUGUCCUUCAAGGUGAUCCUCACCUCCGACCCCAAGCUCCCCUUCAAAGUGUUCAGCGUGCCGGAGGCGGCGCCCUUCACCGCGGUGCUCAAGUUCGCCGCCGAGGAGUUCAAGGUCCCGCCCCAGACCAGCGCCAUCAUCACCAACGAUGGAGUCGGCAUCAACCCACAGCAAAGUGCAGGCAACGUGUUCUUGAAGCAUGGCUCUGAGCUGCGCCUCAUCCCCCGCGACAGAGUUGGAGCGCCGGUGGCGUCUUUCUAG
rnacentral:rRNA from 1 species